GGAGAACUGCAGGAAAUGAGAGGACCAGGUGUGGGAGGACUCGCCCUCACGUGCACUGAAAGCUCAGAGCAGAAAGUGGGAUAAUCGGUCACAUUUGGCCAAUCCCUAGAACACAGAAGCAGAUAGAGACCCGGAGAAACCAAGGACAGCCUCUGUCCUUGGGGUGCCUGGCCCAGUGCUGGUGAGUGACAGGCCCAGGAAAGGAGGGAGAGAAUUUUUCCCCAGCCUGUAGAAUCACUCUCCUGAUUGUCCUUCUGCAGGUACAAGGCUUCGACUCUUCCAAGGUUCUGUGCUACUUCAUGUCACAUCUUUGAGCAGCUUCCAUGGAGUAAACGAAACUGUCACUUGAAGGGCUGGAUCUGAGG